ACAGGCUGCCGUCAGAUUCUCAAGCCCCUAUUCCUCUCGGUGGCCUAAAUCCCCAACUGCUCGGGGCCACUUUUCAGGCCAAAAUGGGCCCAAAAUGGGGAGGGCAAGUGAUGAAUGUCACUAGACAGUGGGGCCCUCAAGGACCUGGCAAAUGGGGGCUUGGACCUCGGAUCGGCCUCCCACGCGAAGCUUGCUCCCCACCAGCAUCCCCACGUUGGUGGCGACGCUGCCCCGGCCCCACGGAUACUUCCGCGCCUGUCAGACUCCCUGAUGAACUACCCUUCCCAGAGUACCGCGGGAGCUCGGGCUCCUGAGGGCGACGGUCCUCUGAUGGCAGAUGCGGGAGAAACUCUGGCGUCAGGCGGCCCUCGCGUGGAGCACACGAAGUCGUGGCUUAUUCUGGCUUCAGUAUGUGGGGUGGAGAAGGCGAUCCACGCAGCUGCGUCUAUUUCCUGUGGAUCAAUCGCAAAAUACGUUCUGUAAGCCCCGCCCCCACUGCGUGCGGGCGGCUUUUGUCUCCACGGCAACCGUCAACUCUGGAAACGCCUGUCUUUCUCCAUGGCAACUGUCUACGCCGCAGGCUGGAGCUGCCCAUUACCGGAGCCCGUGCUGGGUAAGAUGUUCUUCCAUAUGCUCAAGACCACGGGUCAAGAUGUACUAGGCUGUCAGCAUUGUUGACUGUAAAUAUGAAGAUGCAUGAUGGGCACCUGGUACCUGGAUUGGAGUUCUCACUCUGUUCAUGUAGCAGGUAUGUGCAUACGUGACCAGCUCUCUUCAAGAACUCUGGACUAUAAGACUCCAAGUGGGCUUCCUGGGGUGGAGACACCUCAUACAUGUGUCUGUGGUUUUGCAUUAGUGGAAAAAUGCACGUCCAUGUGA
rnacentral:lncRNA from 1 species